CAGCCACCCAGAGCUCCCUCCCCGCUCGUGAGCGGGGAAAGCGGGCUUAGCCCGCUCUUCCCGCUCACCAAAUGAAACCGGGUCUCAUGGAUCGUGAAACCCAGCUCACCAUCUGUGGAAAACUUUAAGAGAGUUUUCCUUGAUUUGGGCUGAAGAGGAAGCAACUGGCUUCCAUUUUCACAUAGUAUUCCACUCCUGAUCUUUGAUUUCUUGUUGGAAGUCAUUUUCCCAAGACACUAUGACUAGGCAGUGGAUUGAAUCUGUAGUUUAUAAUCAAAUCAAAUAACUUUGAAACCAUAUCCUUAAGAGCGUUUGGGGCUUCCAAAACCAGUAUUUAAAAAAUAAUAAUUUGGGUAACAGAUACAUUUUAGAGGCUGCUACUUGCCCCAGCUAAGAAAGUUUGAUCCAAUUCCACUUCAGAUUCUUUCUUUCUUUAAACAGAUUUUAAUACUGGGGUGAAAUUCAUAUGUUUAAGAUUUGCUAGAUUUUUGGAGAUACAAGCUUCCAACUAUUGAAUAAUUUCAGAGAUUUUAAAAAUCCCCAAAGAUUUAAUUAUUUCCUUUUGGGUCUUAGUGCUGAUCCUGAUACACAAGAUUUCUGAUUUGGAGAGAUUUAUUUUUAAUCCUGAUACCUUUUCAAAAAUAAACAAUUCAUCCUUCAUAGAUAAAAUAGCUCAUAAGGGGUCUGAUAAUAUUAAGGUGAUAUUGUCUGCAUGUAAGCUGAUCUUAAGUUCAGUAUUAUUAAUAGUCAGGCCUUUAAUAUGCUGAUUACGUCUAAUGGCUUGAACUAAUGGCUCUGUGGCAAGUACAAAUAGCAAUGGAGAGAGUGGACAUCUCUGUUUUGUACCCCCUUUGAUGUUAAAUAUUUCAGAAUGCAAGGAAUUUAUUGUGCUCAAGAAAGAUUUCCUCUAAGCAGGGGGAAAAAAUCAAAAUAUAAUUUUUUGAGAUUAUGAAACAUUACCUAUCUCCCUUCUUCCUGGCCUUAAAAAAUAAUGUAUUUAAAAUUCAAAUACUUGUUAGAUUCAUCUGUAAAUAUAGCUUUUCCCGUUCACUUUUCCCAUUCUUGCCUAACAUAUGCUGAGAAAGAGCUGCUUCAAUAGCAACUAGUCAGUUCGAGGAGGAGGAAGUACUGUACCAUCUGCUGUGAAGGAGGAUCUCUUCCCAAGCAAUUGUCUUGAACAGGUCUACUUGUUGAUUCACUUCUGAUAGAGGAGGGAGAGACUGGCCGAAUUUGGACGUAACAUGAAACUGGAGUUAAAUGAGGCAGAGGUUGGAACUCAGUUAUGUCCAAAUGUGGUUUUGCUGUGAAAGAGACCUGCAGUAUGGUUCGCCAAACUCCAAUUUGAACCUUCCGCUUGCAGUAAGGUUUACUGCCAAGACCAGAGGUUUGGCCACCCAAGUGUUAGGUCUGAACAUGGUUGUUAUCAAACUAUAGCAACUGUUAUCACCAGGAUAAACCUUGAAUUGUCCAUUCAAUUGAUUCCCCUGCACCUUUGGUAAUGAAUUUUUACCUGCUCCUCUUCUCUCCUCCCUUCCCCCUUCCCUUCCUCUGCUAGGUAACUUGCUUGUAUUAGAGUUAGGUAAAGUAGCUUUGUUUGCCAGGACCUUAUAACGAUUGUA